GAACCAUGCUGGACGUAAACGACGGUGUGCCGUCCACUGCGCGUGCGGCUUGUCUUUCCAUUUCGUGCUUGCGGUUACCAAUGUGCGAUUCCCAUCCAGGCGGUGGCCGCAAUUAUGGAAUCUCUCACCGCCCCUUUCCCCUCCCUAACCCACUCGACUGCGUGCAAAACACACCGGUGUAAGAGAGUGCUACUUCAUGCUUGAACGCAGGUGUUUUGACUUUCUCUGAAGUGUCGAGGCAGCUGGCAUGCGAAUGGAAGAGGAACGCGUCUGCAUGAGUAUUUCCUACAUUCUUUCACGAUGCUGUUGUAUUGCGGGUCGUGAUGCAACUUUAAUAAAAGGGACUGGUAGACUCACUCCUCACCGCUAGAAACCAUAUCGCAGGCUCCUAUUUUCCGUGAACAGGUGGUGCAUUUUGUUCGGGGGUAGAGACGAAGAUGUGUUCAGGCCACAGCAGACCCCGAAUCGAGAGAACGUUCAUUUGUUCUUAUUUACUACAGCUGCGGUGCAACAGUACCUCUUCUCGGCACUCCUGCUCGCUAAGGGACGGCGCGCGCCUCAUCCGAGCGCGAUGAUCCGACAGGAGCAUCCGAAAAUAACCCCUUUUGAAAGGCGACGUUGUGCCAGGAGACACCUGAGCAGACACCUCAGUCGUCCAACAAGGCUUGCUCGUUGCAUUUUCAUCGAUAGAACCCGUUUUCAAGAAGGCAAUGGCUGGGCCAACGGCGAACGCAGGAGCUCACUGCCGGCAUACACCCUACAGCCGAUCACUGGACACUCCCCACGAAAGUAGGUAGAUAUUCUGGUGAUCAGCCCGUGUUCUUGCAGGGGGAAGCAACGAACCCGCGGACAUCCGGAAUUGAUGUGACUAGGCAGUAGUGCUCGAGGGAAUGUACCGACGACGCGUCCACGGCAGGGAUUCCCUUGACACGUCUAGCACACAAUUGAGCAUAGUCACCUCACUUCCGCCAGCGUUCCUCUACUUGCCGGGGACGUUAGCCCAGCUGGCGUUUGACUCUAUACAGUGUUCAGUAGCACUGACCAAGGACAGACGAAACAUGAGCAGCACACGUGGGCGCACAAGAUGAUGGUUGCGGCCAAUCUGUUGCGUUGUUGCCAGGGUACCGUUUUGAAGCGCAGGUGUUCGCUUCGCAAUUUCAAGAGGUGGGCACAAGCAGAAACUGCGGGAACUUUCAUCAGCCUUGUUGAGGGGAAACGGGCCCGCGGCGCAGCGAAGGUGGUGCACUGGUGGGGAACUUACCAACCCAGCGGCUUCCUGCACUGGCAGAACGUCGAUGCUUCACUGCAGGCUAGGGAGUACGGCAAGGGGAAGGGGGGCUUCACCCGUUGGGGCCGCGCUCAACUGCUUUUUUCGACAAGUUUUAGCGUCUCGGGUGUCGCCGGAGAACAUCCAUAAAUGCACCGAUUCGCACUAGUAUGUGUCGGCUGAUGUGCAUUACUCCUGUUAACUGGUCUUUUAAAACUACUUGGUUGCAGCUGAUGCGAGGACAGCUGAGUAGGAAGUCAAACAGCUCAUGCUCGCGGGUCGGCUAACGCCGGUAGCAGUUUGCCGCUCUCAUGCUGACGGAAGCCCGUUUGCUGAAGUGGUGAUGCUGAAACUAGGCCGAUAGUGCAAAGGAUGUGAAUCUUGGUAACGGGGGUCAAUUCGACGACAGCGCUUGUGCUGUCAGUCGUGUUACCAUGUGCCACGGCAGCACUUGCUGAGUGCCUCAUUGGUCCACUAGUGGAAAGCCACGGUGAAGAUAAUUUGGACUAUACUGAAAAGGUUGACAGUGUAAGGAUCUCUUCACAUACGCCGCCGCGAUCUUUGGCCUGCAGCUCCACCUGAAAACGAAAGACACUUCUCCUAACUUGAUCUUUUCCAUUCUCAUUUUCAACGGGUGCCGCCUUGGCACUACUCCCAUUGUUGUUUCGCUUUGUCUGGUUUCGACUAUUCAGCCUGAGGCGAAUGCCCAUUUGCGGGAGGCCCCCAGUUGGCGAGGCGUCUGCCUUCUCAACAUUGAAUGAAAGGACGUAUGCAAUCUUGGGACGUGUGAUUUGUUGCAGGUACUGUGGCAGAGGGGUACCUCUCGGACGGGCUUAUCAUGAGACUGCGGCUGUGAAGCCAGGCUUUACGGCAACACUCGCAUUUUGGUUGUUUUUUUUUCUUUGGACUCUGUACAGGUCACGACCAUGUGUAGUACCUUUUCCUGGCUUGGAAAUUCUUCAAGUCCACAU
rnacentral:lncRNA from 1 species